GAGAGCAGCAGACGCAAUUUUGAUUUAUCAAACUGUCUGGUGAUUGGUGAUUUGGUGCAAAAAUAUUGCUUUUUAUCACUAAAAUAGUAUGAUUUAAAAUUUAAUUUUGUAGAAUAUUGUUCCUGUAAUAGUUUUUUCACUUACAUUAACGUUUGAAAUAGUCUUGAACCGUUAAAUAUUUUAUAAUACGAAGCUUAUCUAUGCAUUGUACUGUUUGCUCCGACUUACAUUAUAACGUGAUUUUGCUACGAAUAUUGAUUGAAACCAUUUGAACGGAUUGGGACAUGGAAGAUUCGUAAAUACUACUGGAAUAUACAUUGACAAUGAACCAAAACAUACAAGCUGGACCUUCUAAUGCUGAUUUGAAGUGUAUUGAAAUAUUGGAGGAUGACUGAAUGAGCAGAGGAAUCUCACUGCUUUGAGAGAAGACCCAGAGGACUUGAGGAAGAAUUUUAUUGCUCAUCUCCAAUCUCCAGCCAUGGAUUACUUCACAACUUGAUUCAUUAGAAACCAACAAACUGAGUUUACUUCAGGAAAGGGAAUCGCCAGUCAACUCUACAAUACCGAGGAAUAAUUAUUCCACUUUCACCUAAGUGAACGCAUUUUCAUUUUAUGAUUUUUCCAUUCAUCUUAUUUUAUGAUUUAAAUAAAAUUUUAUUUUUAUUUUA